UCGGGAAUUUUGGGCAAUGGGCGAAAGCCUGACCCAGCAACGCCGCGUGAAGGAUGAAGUAUUUCGGUAUGUAAACUUCGUAAGAAUAGGAAGAAUAAAUGACGGUACUAUUUAUAAGGUCCGGCUAACUACGUGCCAGCAGCCGCGGUAAUACGUAGGGACCAAGCGUUGUUCGGAUUUACUGGGCGUAAAGGGCGCGUAGGCGGCAAUUCAAGUCAUCUGUGAAAUCUCCGGGCUUAACUCGGAACGGUCAGAUGAUACUGCUUUGCUAGAGUGCAGAAGGGGCAAUCGGAAUUCUUGGUGUAGCGGUGAAAUGCGUAGAUAUCAAGAGGAACACCUGAGGUGAAGACGGGUUGCUGGGCUGACACUGACGUUGAGGCGCGAAAGCCAGGGGAGCAAACGGGAUUAGAUACCCAGGUAGUCCCUGAGCGGGCUGGCAAGGCGCAU
rnacentral:rRNA from 1 species